rnacentral:rRNA from 2 species
CCGGCGGUGUGCCUAAUACAUGCAAGUCGUACGCACUGGCCCAACUGAUUGAUGGUGCUUGCACCUGAUUGACGAUGGAUCACCAGUGAGUGGCGGACGGGUGAGUAACACGUAGGUAACCUGCCCCGGAGCGGGGGAUAACAUUUGGAAACAGAUGCUAAUACCGCAUAACAACAAAAGCCNCAUGGCUUUUGUUUGAAAGAUGGCUUUGGCUAUCACUCUGGGAUGGACCUGCGGUGCAUUAGCUAGUUGGUAAGGUAACGGCUUACCAAGGCGAUGAUGCAUAGCCGAGUUGAGAGACUGAUCGGCCACAAUGGAACUGAGACACGGUCCAUACUCCUACGGGAGGCAGCAGUAGGGAAUCUUCCACAAUGGGCGCAAGCCUGAUGGAGCAACACCGCGUGAGUGAAGAAGGGUUUCGGCUCGUAAAGCUCUGUUGUUGGAGAAGAACGUGCGUGAGAGUAACUGUUCACGCAGUGACGGUAUCCAACCAGAAA